rnacentral:rRNA from 1 species
GGUGAACGCUGGCGGCGUGCCUAAUACAUGCAAGUCGAGCGAACGGACGAGAAGCUUGCUUCUCUGAUGUUAGCGGCGGACGGGUGAGUAACACGUGGAUAACCUACCUAUAAGACUGGGAUAACUUCGGGAAACCGGAGCUAAUGCCGGAUAAUAUUUUGAACCGCAUGGUUCAAAAGUGAAAGACGGUCUUGCUGUCACUUAUAGAUGGAUCCGCGCUGCAUUAGCUAGUUGGUAAGGUAACGGCUUACCAAGGCAACGAUGCAUAGCCGACCUGAGAGGGUGAUCGGCCACACUGGAACUGAGACACGGUCCAGACUCCUACGGGAGGCAGCAGUAGGGAAUCUUCCGCAAUGGGCGAAAGCCUGACGGAGCAACGCCGCGUGAGUGAUGAAGGUCUUCGGAUCGUAAAACUCUGUUAUUAGGGAAGAACAUAUGUGUAAGUAACUGUGCACAUCUUGACGGUACCUAAUCAGAAAGCCACGGCUAACUACGUG